rnacentral:rRNA from 1 species
AUGGAGCAGAACCCAGAGUUUGCCGCUCUCGGCGCCCUCGGGCUCGCCGGCAUCUGCCGCGAGACCCUCCGCGUCGUCCGCUCCCGCCCCCCAGGCUCCGUCUUCUUGGCCGGCCAGGUGAUCGGGGUCACCCUGUCCUUGCUCGCCCACAUCGCCCUCUCCCGCGCCCUCUUCUCCGACGCCCUCGCCUCCUCCCACGCUGCCGCCGGCCUCCUCCAUCUCGAAAGGAACUGGGCGCUCUUCUUCCUCGUAGAGGCCGCCUGCCUCCUGGCCGUCGUGGUCCAGUCGCUCUGCGCCGCCGCCUUCUGCGUCUUCUGCGUCGCCCCGCGCUACGGCGUCACCGACGACCGCGACAAGCGCUCGAUCGCGCGCGACUACCGCACCGCCCCCUGGUUCUUGGCCAGGUUCCUCUGGUCCGUCUUCGGAGGCAACUCCCACAGCGCCACGCGCCUCAUCCGGACGGCCCGCAAGGUCGCCUGGCGCCUCGUGGUCACCACCUUCGAUGCCUUCCUCCUCCUCCUCGGCUACACCGCCCUCCUCGGCGCCGCCUCAUGGAUGGCGCACCACCAUUUCCUCGCCGCUGCCCCGGGUGUGGAGGAGAGCGGCGCGAAGCUUCCCCAGGUGGCGCUGCUGCUGGGCGGCGCCGCGUACCUCGCCGGAGCCGCGCACAUCGGUGCGGUGUGGCGCGUGGCCUGCCUGAUGCUGGUGCUGGAGGACGAGUGGGGCUUCCGCGGCAUGCACAUUAGCGACGAGCUACUCGCCGGCAAGUACUGGGCCGCGGCCGCCGUCUUCUGGACGACCGACGGCUGCGUCGUCGCCACGCAGCUGGCUUUCGGAGCGCUGGUGGUGGACGACAGGAUGGGCCUCGGCAUCCGGCUCCGGGUGGCCGCGGGGAUCACCAUGGUGGUGGUGCUAUGGGCGGCGGUGAUGGCGGGGCUGGUGGCGCAGGUGGUGGUGUACUUGGUGUGCAAGAGCUGCCACCGCCAACGCGAGAGCUUGCACGUCAUGGAGGCGAAGAACUACCUGACCAAUGCCGGCCGAGGGCGAGCCACUCCCACUGCCACUAGGAAGCGACGGCAGUGA